AUGUACCACAUCAAGGUGGUUGAAGACGGAUAUGAAUUUUUUGCAAAGAGGCAGUUGGUCACUCUGUUUUCUGCACCCAAUUAUUGUGGAGAGUUUGACAAUGCAGGUGCCAUGAUGAGUGUGGAUGAAACAUUAAUGUGCUCCUUUCAGAUUUUAAAGCCUGCAGAGAAAAAGAAGCCAAAUCCCACAAGACCUGGAACCCCUCCAAGUGGUAUGAUCACAAAGCAAGCAAAGAAAUAGAUGUCAUUUUGACACUGCUUAGUUGGGACUUGUAACAUAGAGUAUAUAACCUUCAUUUUAAAAACUGUAAUGUGUGCUGGUCAGCUUGCUCAGAUAGAUCUGUUUGUGGGAGCCCUUUUGUUUUUGUUUUAAUGAAUAGCAUUUGCUGGUUGUAACAGCAAAUGAAAGACACUCCACUCCCAAGGAAAAGUGUUUUGUUUUUGUUUAAUUCCCCGUUCCUUUUGCAAACAACUUUAACGAUGAUGUUAAAACUGCACACCCUAGGACAGUUUUCCUGUCAGGGGGGAGGGGUAGGUGUGUAAGUGAUCUUUUUAAAAUUCAGUAUAACCUAUGAAUAAUGUAAAUGCUUGUUUUCUUUAGAAUAUAAAGAGAGCCCCAGGGUGCUCUGAAUCUGUACAGGUUAUUGUCAUAAAAUGUAUAUUAUUGUUGGUACAAACCACUGUGAACAUUUUUUUAUUUUAAAAUUUUGUUCCAAAAGGAUUGCUUUUUCUUAUUGUCUUGUCACGUACAAACUAGUUGUUAUAGCCGUCAACAAUAGAAGUAAUAUUCAGCCUUGCCGGGAUCACUGGUAUGAUACCUAUUUAAUUAAAGCACUCCUUCCCCCACUUCCUUAGAACGAUGAUUAAAGCCAUUCUUUUAAAUGUUUGUGACUCUUCCUGAAGCCAACAUUUCUGUUGGAAUUGUGUUGCCACCGCACCCCCAGGGCAAGGUGGCGUGGCUGCAUACACAGGGUGUGGGACUGCAUAACCUUUGCCCCUUUUUCUCCAGCCCCACUGUGAUUAAAAUAUGAGUUAAUGGAUGGAGAUGUUUGUGAGUCUGGAGAUGCUAGAUAGGGAUCUGUAACCGACCUAGGGUCCCAGAGUAAACUACUCAUCUCUUUGUUUAUCCAGAACUGAUAUUCCAGGCACCACAAUUGUUAGAACAAGCUGCAGAUGUCUGCUAACCAUCAAUAUGUGACAGUCAACCACUAACCUUUGUCCCCUUUUCUUUGAUAUGUUAACUUCCCCCUCAACCCCCUAUAAAAACAGCCUCGGAUUCUGAGCCAGUGGCCUCUCUAAGCUAUUUUGCUUUGAGAGUGCCGUCUGGCCAGACUAAUAAAGGUCUGUUUCCCAACUUGGCUGGUGUGUUGCUUCCCGGGUGGUCUUCGCUGUAGCCAGCUCCUUGGAGCGUUUGGUAAGGCCCUCAGUCUUACAAGGCCACCUCCUUGGGGAUUCAAAAAUAGGUUUUUUAUUUUGAAUACUAAUUAGUAAUAUAGUGCUAUUUAAGCUAUUAUGAUUAAAUUACAUUUUGUACAAUUUCCAUAUAAUCUGUUCAUUAAUCUUUUUACAGUUGGACCAGCCUGAACCCGUCCGUUCAGAAAGCUUCAAGUUAUAGAAACAAUACUGUUCUAUAUGAGUGAACGAUUGUGCUUUCUUUAUUCUGCGGCGAAGUUGAGGCUUAUAAGUCAAAACAAAGUGUUGUGCCCAGAUCGCAAAGUCCCCAAAGACCACCAAGGAGCCGUUUCCGAUGUAAACACACGAGGGUCGUUUAUUCAAGCUCGAGCAGGGGCACUCAACCAUCACCGACACAAAGGAUCAGGAUUGAGAGCCCCGAAUUCCAAAUCAGCAGGGUUUUUAUUGUGGCUAC
rnacentral:lncRNA from 1 species